UACGUAGGGUGCAAGCGUUAAUCGGAAUUAGCUGGGCGUAAGCGUGCGCAGCGGUUAUGUAAGACAGAUGUGAAAUGCCCGGGCUUAACCUGGGAACUGCAUUUGUGACUGCAUGGCUAGAGUUUGGCAGAGGGGGUAGAAUUCCACGUGUAGCAGUGAAAUGCGUAGAUAUGUGGAGGAACACCGAUGGCGAAGGCAGCCCCCUGGGUCAAGACUGACGCUCAUGCACGAAAGCGUGGGGAGCAAACAGG
rnacentral:rRNA from 1 species